GAUGAAGAACGUAGCGAAAUGCGAUACUUGGUGUGAAUUGCAGAAUCCCGUGAACCAUCGAGUCUUUGAACGCAAGUCGCGCCCGAAGCCAUUAGGCCGAGGGCACGCCUGCCUGGGCGUCACACGUCGUUGCCCCCCCCAUCUACUCCUUCGGGAUUGCGGGGGGCGGAUGAUGGCCUCCCGUGCGCCUCGCCGCGCGGUUGGCAUAAAUGCCAAGUCCUCGGCGACGCACGCCACGACAAUCGGUGGUUGCGAAACCUCGGUUGCCCGUCGUGUGCGGUCGUCGCGCAUCGAGGGCUCGAAAAAAUUGCCGAGUUCCGGCUCGGCUUUCAACGCGACCCCAGGUCAGGCGGGGUUACCCGCUGAAUUUAAGCAUAUCAAUAAGCGGAGGA
rnacentral:misc_RNA from 1 species